rnacentral:tRNA from 1 species
GCCUGGGUGGCUCAGUUGGUUAAGCACCUGCCUUCGAUUCAGGUCAUGAUUUCAGGGUCCUGGGAUCGAGUCCCAGGUUGGGCU